UUUCAGAUCGUUUGUUCUUAACAAAAAUAUAAUUGCUCAAGUUUUUAAGUAAUAAUUAUUGCGUUACUUUGAUAUUUCAUCGCCAUGAGUAAACGUAUACGAUAAAAAAGGAGUUAAAGAUUUAAGAAAAUUUCCCGACGAAGAUCGUUGGAAAUUUCCUGACUUAGAUGACACUUCAAUGUUAUGUGUGCGUUGUCGAUUCCGUGUCAAAGAAUAUAUUCCGCCGGCAUCAGAGGAAGAGGAAAUUAUUUCAAGUCAAAUUAGUGUUGAAAGUCUGAGUAUAUCAGCUGAAAUUUGUACUCAAGGAAGCAGUUUAUCUCGAACUGUCAGUAAUUUUAGCGACAAUCUAUGUGAUUACAAUGAUCAUUCUUUAAAGCGAUUUUUGAAAAUUCCUCUUAUUGAAAAAGACAGGUUAUAUUCUGAAAAAAAUUAUGGAGUUAAAAAAACUUGAUGAGAGCUAUACUGCCCUAGAGAAUAAGUUCCAAUCACAAUUUGGAAUAGUACCUGAAUCUACCUACAGAAAGAUUAAUCAAGAUCAUUGUUUCAUGAUAGCUAAAGUGAAGAAAUUAUAUAACGCUGAAAGUGACAAAUCAAUAAAAAAGAAGCUGCUUUCAAUUUUACCCGACAGUUGGGAAGUCAGUCGUAUAGCAUCUGAAUUUAACUGUUCUCGAAAAAUUGUACUGAAUCUUAAAAAUGAUAUCAGUGAAUCUGAGAAUGUUGAUUUAGACUCUGGUGAAAUGACUACUAAUACUUUGAAUCCCACAAAAGUUCCAGGCAAUCAGCUGCUUAAGUUAGAUGUAAAAAAACUUGUCAUUGAUUUUUAUGAAAGCGAAGAAAACUCAAAACAAUUAGCGGGCAUGAAAGAUUUUAAAUCUGUGAAGGAUUGUGAUGGAAAUCGAACUACACAUGUCGUAUGUGUUUGUACUAUUCAUCAAAAUGUAAAAUUGAUGUUAGAAGGAUGUAAUUUUCCAAAAUUUGCGAAAAACACUGACUGGGUUGUAGAAUCUCAGCCAAUUUACAAAAAUUUAUUAAAUAAAUUAGUUUGUAACAAUCCAAAAGAAUCGUGCUUUUCCAGAAUGUGCAAUAGUUGUCCAAAUAAUGAAGAAAUCGCUGAUUAUUUUCGUGUGUCGUUUAUGAAUCUGAUGUUAAUGAAAUCCAAUAUAAAAUGUGGACAUCAACAGACCGUUGUACUAUUGUGAAUGUUACUUCAGAUUCCGAAGACUUCAUCGAGACUUUAGUGACGCAACUUGAUAAGCUUUUGAAACAUGAUUUUAUUGCGAAAACACAAAGUCGAUUUUUUUCUGAUACAAAACUAAAUUUAAAGAGCGGGGAAUUCGCCGUAGUAUUUGACUUUGCGGAAAAUUAUGCAUUCGUUGUGCAGGAAGGAGCUCAAGGCUUUCAUUGGAAUAAUGAUCAAGCUACUAUAUUUCCAAUGGUGAUUUAUUAUAACGAAAAUGAUACUAUUAAGCAUUUGAGCUUUGUUGGUAUUUCAGAUUGUCUUAAGCACGACACAGUUUUAAUUUAUUUAUUUCAAGAGCAAUUGAUUGCCUUUCUUAAAAAGAAGUUUGCUGUCAUCAAUACGAUUUUUUACUUCUCUGAUGGAGCUCCACAACAAUUCAAAAACAAGAAAGCAUUUACAAACUUAUGUUAUCAUUAUGCUGACUUCGAAAUCAACGCUGAGUGGCAUUUUUUUGCAACUGCCCAUGGCAAAGGACCAUGCGAUGGUCUUGCGGGUUCAUUAAAACGAUAUGCUGCUAGAGCUUCAUUACAAAUGAACAAUAAAGAGCAUAUACUGAAACCACAAGAUUUGUUUUCCUGGGGAACGAAAAAUUUUACAAGCGUUGACUUUACUUUCAUAGCUAAUGACGAUUAUUUAAUAAAAAAAAAUGUGUUAGACGUACGAUAUUCUCAAUCGAAAACGGUGAAAGGUACACAGUCAUUAUACACUUUUGUGCCUUUAAAAGAUGAAAUUGGUUAUGCUUUCAUUAAAACUGUGUCCACAUUUCAAAAAAGUUCAAAAAUAAAAGUAUUUUAAUUAUAAUGAAUUUGCGUUUAAUUUAAUUGUGACGAAACAAAAAACAUGCACAUCGGCAAAACGCUAUAUUUUGUGUAAAAAACUCUCAGCUUUCAGAAAAAAAUUCAAAUUUGAAGAAU
rnacentral:misc_RNA from 1 species